rnacentral:rRNA from 1 species
AACGCGAAGAACCUUACCUGGGCUCGAAGCGCAGUGGACCGGGGUAGAAAUAUCCCUUCCCCUUAAAAGGCUGCUGCGGAGGUGCUGCAUGGCUGUCGUCAGCUCGUGUCGUGAGAUGUUGGGUUAAGUCCCGCAACGAGCGCAACCCUUAUCAUCAGUUGCCACCGGGUCAAGCCGAGCUACUCUGGUGAAACUGCCUGGGAUAACCAGGAGGAAGGUGGGGAUGACGUCAAGUCCUCAUGGCCUUUAUGUCCAGGGCUACACACGUGCUACAAUGGUCGGUACAAACCGUCGCAAACCCGCGAGGGGAAGCUAAUCGGAAAAAGCCGACCUCAGUUCGGAUUGGAGUCUGCAACUCGACUCCAUGAAGCUGGAAUCGCUAGUAAUCGCGGAUCAGAACGCCGCGGUGAAUACGUUCCCGGGCCUUGUACACACCGCAUAC